rnacentral:rRNA from 2 species
UGAUCAGCGUGCCGCGUGAAUGAUGAAGGCCUUCGGGUUGUAAAGCUCUUUCUCCGGGGAAGAUAUGACGGUACCAGGAGAUGAAGCCCCGGCUAACUUCUUGCCAGCAGCCGCGGUAAUACGAAGGGGGCUAGCGUUGUUCGGAAUUACUGGGCGUAAAGCGCACGUAGGCGGAUUGUUAAGUCAGGGGUGAAAUCCCUGAGCUCAACUCCGAAACUGCCUUUGAUACUGCACAUCUAGAGUGCGGAAGAGGUGAGUGGAAUUCCGAGUGUAGAGGUGAAAUGCGUAUAUAUUCGGAGGAACACCAGUGGCGAAGGCGGGUCACUGGCCCGAUACUGACGCUGAGGUGCGAAAGCGAGGGGAGCAAACAGGAUUAGAUACCCUGGUAGUCCACGCCAUAAACGAUGAAUGCUAGCCGUCGGGAAGUUUACUUGUCGGGGGCGCAGCGAACGCAUUAACCAUUCCGCCUGGGGAGAACGGUCGCACGAUUGAAACUCUAAAG